UGGGGAAUAUUGCACAAUGGGGGAAACCCUGAUGCAGCGACGCCGCGUGAAGGAAGAAGUAUCUCGGUAUGUAAAGCUCUAUCAGCAGGGAAGAAAAUGACGGUACCUGACUAAGAAGCACCGGCUAAAUACGUGCC
rnacentral:rRNA from 1 species